rnacentral:rRNA from 1 species
GCGGACGGGUGAGUAACACGUGGGUAACCUACCUAUAAGACUGGAAUAACUCCGGGAAACCGGGGCUAAUGCCGGAUAACAUAUCGAACCGCAUGGUUCGAUAGUGAAAGACGGUCUUGCUGUCACUUAUAGAUGGACCCGCGCCGUAUUAGCUAGUUGGUGAGGUAACGGCUCACCAAGGCAACGAUACGUAGCCGACCUGAGAGGGUGAUCGGCCACACUGGAACUGAGACACGGUCCAGACUCCUACGGGAGGCAGCAGUAGGGAAUCUUCCGCAAUGGGCGAAAGCCUGACGGAGCAACGCCGCGUGAGUGAUGAAGGUCUUCGGAUCGUAAAGCUCUGUUGUUAGGGAAGAACAAAUGUGUAAGUAACUAUGCACAUCUUGACGGUACCUAACCAGAAAGCCACGGCUAACUACGUGCCAGCAGCCGCGGUAAUACGUAGGUGGCAAGCGUUAUCCGGAAUUAUUGGGCGUAAAGCGCGCGUAGGCGGUUUUUUAAGUCUGAUGUGAAAGCCCACGGCUCAACCGUGGAGGGUCAUUGGAAACUGGAAAACUUGAGUGCAGAAGAGGAAAGUGGAAUUCCAUGUGUAGCGGUGAAAUGCGCAGAGAUAUGGAGGAACACCAGUGGCGAAGGCGGCUUUCUGGUCUGUAACUGACGCUGAUGUGCGAAAGCGUGGGGAUCAAACAGGAUUAGAUACCCUGGUAGUCCACGCCGUAAACGAUGAGUGCUAAGUGUUAG